UGGAAGUAAAAAAGUGGUAACAAGGUCUCCGUUGGUGAACCAGCGGAGGGAUCAUUA
rnacentral:rRNA from 1 species